rnacentral:rRNA from 1 species
GAUGAACGCUGGCGGCGUGCCUAAUACAUGCAAGUCGAGCGAACGGACGAGAAGCUUGCUUCUCUGAUGUUAGCGGCGGACGGGUGAGUAACACGUGGAUAACCUACCUAUAAGACUGGGAUAACUUCGGGAAACCGGAGCUAAUACCGGAUAAUAUUUUGAACCGCAUGGUUCAAAAGUGAAAGACGGUCUUGCUGUCACUUAUAGAUGGAUCAGCGCUGCAUUAGCUAGUUGGUAAGGUAACGGCUUACCAAGGCAACGAUGCAUAGCCGACCUGAGAGGGUGAUCGGCCACCCUGGACCUGAGACACGGUCCAGACUCCUACGGGAGGCAGCAGUAGGGAAUCUUCCGCAAUGGGCGAAAGCCUGACGGAGCAACGCCGCGUGAGUGAUGAAGGUCUUCGGAUCGUAAAACUCUGUUAUUAGGGAAGAACAUAUGUGUAAGUAACUGUGCACAUCUUGACGGUACCUAAUCAGAAAGCCACGGCUAACUACGU